GACGAACGCUGGCGGCGUGCUUAACACAUGCCAGUCGAACGGAAAGGCCCUGCUUUUGUGGGGUGCUCGAGUGGCGAACGGGUGAGUAACACGUGAGUAACCUGCCCUUGACUUUGGGAUAACUUCAGGAAACUGGGGCUAAUACCGGAUAGGAGCUCCUGCUGCAUGGUGGGGGUUGGAAAGUUUCGGCGGUUGGGGAUGGACUCGCGGCUUAUCAGCUUGUUGGUGGGGUAGUGGCUUACCAAGGCUUUGACGGGUAGCCGGCCUGAGAGGGUGACCGGCCACAUUGGGACUGAGGUACGGCCCAGACGCCUACGGGAGGCAGCAGUGGGGAAUAUUGCACAAUGGGCGGAAGCCGGAUGCAGCAACGCCGCGUGCGGGAUGACGGCCUUCGGGUUGUAAACCGCUUUCGCCUGUGACGAAGCGUGAGUGACGGUAAUGGGUAAAGAAGCACCGGCUAACUACGUG
rnacentral:rRNA from 1 species